rnacentral:lncRNA from 1 species
UUGUUUAAUGUUGCUUGUAGGAUUGGCCCAAAUAGGGGUGGCAAGUUGGCUUAAAUCAAGCCUACAUUUUGCCACACGGUCAGCUACCACGGGCGUGCCUUGUGGCCGUGUAUGUAAAUCAGUAACCUCUUAAGAUCCACACGACUAUAGCACAUGGGCGUGUCAUAUGGCCGUGGGCUCAAGUCAGUAGCUAGCUAAGCUUCACACGGCCAUAGCACACGGGCAUGUCUAUUGGCCAUGGGUGAAAGUCAGUAUGUAUGCCUUGUUGGCAUGGCUGGUUCAUAUGGGUGUGUUGGCACCCGUGUGAGGUACACGGC